UACGAAGGGUGCAAGCGUUACUCGGAAUUACUGGGCGUAAAGCGUGCGUAGGCGGUGAGUUAAGUCUGAUGUGAAAUCCCCGGGCUCAACCUGGGAAUGGCAUUGGAUACUGGCUCGCUAGAGUACGGUAGAGGGUGGUGGGAAUUCCCGGUGUAGCAGUGAAAUGCGUAGAGAUCGGGAGGAACAUCUGUGGCGAAGGCGGCCACCUGGACCAGUACUGACGCUGAGACGCGAA
rnacentral:rRNA from 1 species